rnacentral:tRNA from 1 species
GGAAAGGUGCAGGAGUGGCUGAACUGGCACGCCUGGAAAGCGUGUGUACGUGCAAGCGUACCGUGGGUUCGAAUCCCACCCUUUCCGCCA